rnacentral:lncRNA from 1 species
GGAAGAUUUUGGCUUCAUUUUUAUUGAAUGAAUGGGAACAGCGACACGGCGUCCAUCUUUUUUUACAGUCUAUGGGACAAACUGCUAAAAUUUUUGGAUCUCGGAACGCUGUGGGAGAAUGUUGUGAAACAGCACUGUCCACUCAGAAAGGGGUUGAGGGGAAAUCUCUGCACAGUCUUUUCCUGCUCCUCCCUACAGUGUUCAGCAGGGAGGUCUCUGAAUUCCAGAGUACCUCUUCUACGCAACUUCCAGCUUCAGCACCAACAUCCCCAGCCCCCUGCUGAUUUUUCUCCCCCCCCCCAACUGCCUUAAAUUUGCUCCUGCCUCCUGAUUCCUGAUCCACCCAUGUACUUUUGACUGGGACAGUCUCUGAACCUGAAUAGCUUUAUGGAAAAAACAAGGGAGGCCACCAACACUAGUCCCCCUGCCCCCAACCAGCCCCCUCCGCUUCACAGUUAAAGAAUGUGGAGUGCUGGUCUGAUUGUUGCUAAGAUUUUUAAAUUUUACAUCAUCCAAAUGAUAGGCAAGAAAAAUGGUCAAAAGUUAAACCAGCACAACCAGCACAUCAUACUCAUAAUCUUCCAAUUACAGGUACAUUGCAUGGACAAAAGUAUUGGGACACCUGCUCAUUUAUUUCUUUAGAAAGUAAGGGUGUAGAAGGUAUCCUGAUUUUGUUGGAGUAACUGUCUAUACUGUACAGGGAAGCAUUUUUUUAGAUUUUGCUCCAUUGCUGGGAGGAUUUGAUUGAAUUUAGUGACAAGAGUGUUACUGAGGUCAGAAUGUUGAAUUAUCACCACCCCAACUCAUCCCCAACUCGCCAACUAACCCCAUUACUAUUAAAUGCAGCAGAGACUAGACACGUCGUGCAGGUCUUUGCUCAUCUGUGUCAGCAGUGGGUGCAAUUUAAACUAGCUAAAUGCCUUCAUUGGAAAGGUUGUCCACAAAAAAUCUUUAACUGCUAGAAUUUUUUUGGAAGAGGGAUGAUUACAUGAUUCAUGUAAGUAAAUAAUUAAGAUAUUAUCUCAGUUGCAACUGCUGACAUGUUUUCUCCCGUGAUAUUACAUAUAAACAAGUAUAUUAAUAAUUAGCCCUUUAAAGAUGACUGUUCUGUUUCCUAGACUGGAAAUUAUUUUUUUGCAAUAAACGAAAUGUCGUUUGGGAUUAAUCUUAAUGG